rnacentral:rRNA from 1 species
UACGUAGGGUGCAAGCGUUGUCCGGAAUUAUUGGGCGUAAAGAGCUCGUAGGCGGUUUGUCGCGUCGAAUGUGAAAACCCGGGGCUCAACUCCGGGCCUGCAUUCGAUACGGGCAGACUAGAGUUCGGUAGGGGAGACUGGAAUUCCUGGUGUAGCGGUGAAAUGCGCAGAUAUCAGGAGGAACGCCGGUGGCGAAGGCGGGUCUCUGGGCCGAUACUGACGCUGAGGAGCGAAAGCGUGGGGAGCGAACAGG